rnacentral:rRNA from 1 species
GAUGAACGCUGGCGGCGUGCUUAACACAUGCAAGUCGAACGAAGCAAUUUAAUGAAUUUCUUUCGGGAAUGAAGUUAACUUGACUUAGUGGCGGACGGGUGAGUAACGCGUGGGUAACCUACCUUAUACAGGGGGAUAACAGUUGGAAACGACUGCUAACACCGCAUAAGCGCACAGUGUCGCAUGACACCGUGUGAAAAUAUUUAUAGGUAUAAGAUGGACCCGCGUCUGAUUAGCUAGUUGGUGAGGUAACGGCCCACCAAGGCGACGAUCAGUAGCCGGCUUGAGAGAGUGAACGGCCACAUUGGGACUGAGACACGGCCCAAACUCCUACGGGUGGCUG